ACACCCUGAAUGCACCCGAUCUUGUCUGAUUUAGGAAGCUAAGUAGGGUUGGGCCUGCUUAGUACUUGGAUAGGGAGAAUACAAUGGU
rnacentral:rRNA from 1 species